UCAUAUUUGGCAUAAAACAUAAAACUGAUGAGAGUUCUUCUGCUUAAACAGAAUCUGCCCAAGAUCAAAAUCAAACUGAAUCUGCCCAAGAUCAAAAUGAACCAGAAGAGAAAUAUCAGAAACAGCCAUGUGAGGAAACAUUGGAGAUGCACAUGAUUUUGUCUGUUACAUCCAUCCUGCUGAAUUUUGUGCUGAUCAUUGCAAUAAUUGGUUUGUUAAUUCUCAAACCUAAGAAGCCUAGAAAAAGUCGACAACAAGCCAAGAAUCUCCAACCAGAGCAGAUCGAGGACUUAAACAAUGCACAGUUUUCUGAAGUGGAGUUUCAUCUGUUUCACCCGAACAACAACACUUUUGUUCCUUUUCAAAAGCCAAAGACAAAACCUAGACAAAUAUAAUCAAGAUUAUUUCAUAUGCUAAAUAAUGUGUAUAAUAUUGUUAACUGAUGUUUGUUACCUAAACAUGUAUGUAAUACAAAAUUUGAAAUGUUUUCAGCAUGAAUUUAUUUGCUUUUGAUAAUUAAGUCUCUUAAAUAAAAUCCAUAAAUCUUAAUUCUGUAUGUUUAUAUUGAGUGGCUUCAUUCUUUGACUUUGGGCUUUUAUAAUAAUGUAAAUAAUCAAGUAAAAUUAUGAUUUUUUUUUUUAUGUUUUUGAAAGUUGUAAAACAGAAAAAUAAAUAUUAUGAACUACUAUAAUUUCAAUUAACUGUUUUAGAAGAGAAUAUAUAUGACUGGACUGGUUGCUUGUUUAUAUUGUAAGAUAAAUGUAAAUGUUUAUUUGUUUGCUCUAGAUUUGUUUAUGUGUGAUGUUAAUAUCCAAAUUGUAAGUUAAUGUUUUAAGGGUUUAUUAACAUAUUUCAAUGUCAAUAAAUAGGGCUACUGUAUUUGACAGCAUAUAAACGUAUGUAAUGCUGUGUGCUGUAGUGAGUCUUUUGGUUAUUUGUAUUUAAAGUCUUCAUUCUCUUGCUAUGGUCUGUUUUCUCACAGCUGUGGGUUUGUUGUCUUGAACUCUAGUCUGGUUCAAGUUUUUGUAAAAGUCACUCACUGUGAAACACUAUAAA